CCAUGCUGGACCUUUUCUAGAAGGUUUAUCUGCGUUUAUUUGCGUUUCACUUCGACGGCACCGCAGCUUCCAGCGUCACGCACGGAUAACCGCGUCUUUUCCUGCUGCUCAGAAGAAGAGGUUGGAGCCCCCAGACCCCCCGAGGCUGGAGGCCGGAACCUUCAAGAGAUGGAUUCACCUCCAAGGAGACGGCACAGCAGAGACCAGCCGUUUGACCUGUCAGAUCUGGUCAUUAAACUUCAGCUGGAUUCAGAUUCUUUCACCUCGCUGCUCAACAGCAAUGAACCAAGGAUGAGGGAGAUCGUGGAGGAGCUUCUGAGGAUUUCUGAAGAAGUCAAAGACAUGCAGAGAGGAACAGAUGGUCUAAGAACAGCCGGAGCUGUAGGAGCUGCAGGUGGAGCUGCUCUCCUCCUGCUCAGUGUAGCAGUCCCAGUUCUUCUUCCAUUUGCUGCUGCUGCUGCUGGUGCAGCUGGUGCAGCUGGUGGUGCAGCUGCUCUUACAGGUGGAGGUGCUGUCAUCAGUGCAAAUAUCACUAAAAUGAUGAGUGAGAGUGGAAGUGCUGAAAAGGUGAAGAAUAUGGGAGCAGAGUUUAUGAAGACUGUUGAACCGAUGAAGCAGCUCUUGGUUCAAAUCCAUCAAACAUGUGAAGAUCUGGAGGAGAAAGGCUCCAAGUAUCAGGCUGAAGAGUCCCUGAAAGAUGUGGAGGAUCUUCAGAAGGUCCUCCAUCAGGUGUCUGAGCUGAAGGAGAAGAGUGGAGGAGCUGUUGAUGUGGUGGAGGUGUUGAUUCAAUCAGUAACCGGCCUGCUGCUGCUGCUCGUGAACGUUAUCAGAGUCACUGCAACACCUGAAGAAGACCAGAAGCUGAGAGACGCCAUCAUUCAGUCAGCUGAUCAGAGCCAGAGGCUCACUGAGGACUUCUGUCUGAUGAGGGAGGAACUGGCAAAGUUCAGGAAGUGAAGAGAACACACACACACACACACACACACACACACAUACACACACACACACACACACACACACACACACACACACACACACACACACACACACACACACACACACACACACACACAGUC